UACGUAGGGUGCAAGCGUUACUCGGAAUUACUGGGCGUAAAGCGUGCGCAGGCGGUUAUGUAAGACAGGUGUGAAAUCCCAGGGCUUAACCUUGGAACUGCAUUUGUGACUGCAUAGCUGGAGUACGGUAGAGGGGGAUGGAAUUCCGCGUGUAGCAGUGAAAUGCGUAGAUAUGCGGAGGAACACCGAUGGCGAAGGCAAUCCCCUGGACCUGUACUGACGCUCAUGCACGAAAGCGUGGGGAGCAAACAGG
rnacentral:rRNA from 1 species